AUUAAUACAUCGGAACAUGUCCUGUAGUGGGGGAUAGCCCGGCGAAAGCCGGAUUAAUACCGCAUACGAUCCAUGGAUGAAAGCGGGGGACCUUCGGGCCUCGCGCUAUAGGGUUGGCCGAUGGCUGAUUAGCUAGUUGGUGGGGUAAAGGCCUACCAAGGCGACGAUCAGUAGCUGGUCUGAGAGGACGACCAGCCACACUGGGACUGAGACACGGCCCAGACUCCUACGGGAGGCAGCAGUGGGGAAUUUUGGACAAUGGGCGAAAGCCUGAUCCAGCAAUGCCGCGUGUGUGAAGAAGGCCUUCGGGUUGUAAAGCACUUUUGUCCGGAAAGAAAUCCUUGGUCCUAAUAUGGCCGGGGGAUGACGGUACCGGAAGAAUAAGCACCGGCUAACUACGUGCCAGCAGCCGCGGUAAUACGUAGGGUGCAAGCGUUAAUCGGAAUUACUGGGCGUAAAGCGUGCGCAGGCGGUUUGCUAAGACCGAUGUGAAAUCCCCGGGCUCAACCUGGGAACUGCAUUGGUGACUGGCAGGCUAGAGUAUGGCAGAGGGGGGUAGAAUUCCACGUGUAGCAGUGAAAUGCGUAGAGAUGUGGAGGAAUACCGAUGGCGAAGGCGGCCCCCUGGGGCCAAUACUGACGCUCAUGCCCGAAAAGCGUGGGGGAGCAAACCGGGAUUAA
rnacentral:rRNA from 1 species